AUCGUCAAGUUUUUAAGGGCACACGGUGGAUGCCUUGGCAUCAGGAGCCGAAGAAGGACGUGGGAAUCUGCGAUAAGCCUGGGGGAGUUGAUAACCGAACUUUGAUCCCAGGAUGUCCGAAUGGGGAAACCCCGCCCAGCGCGCGAGUGACUGGGUGACCCGUAUCUGAACACAUAGGGUGCGUGGGGGGAACGUGGGGAAGUGAAACAUCUCAGUACCCACAGGAAGAGAAAACAAUAGUGAUUCCGUUAGUAGUGGCGAGCGAACGCGGAUGAGGCUAAACCAGUGGUGUGUGAUAGCCGGCGGGCGUUGCAUCACUGGGGUUGCGGGACUUUCCGUAUCAGCUCUGCCGGGCUGGUGAAGUGAGUGCAGGCGUAUAGGUGAACGGGUUUGAAGGCCCGACCGGAGUGGGUGAGAGUCCCGUAGCUGUAAUGCGUGCUGCCGCUUGGAGAGUAUCCCAAGUAGUACGGGGCCCGAGAAAUCCCGUGCGAAUCUGCCAGGACCACCUGGUAAGCCUAAAUACUCCCUGAUGACCGAUAGCGGACAAGUACCGUGAGGGAAAGGUGAAAAGUACCCCGGGAGGGGAGUGAAAUAGUACCUGAAACCGUGUGCCUACAAUCCGUCAGAGCAGGUGGGCUGGUUUUCCAGUUCCACUGGUGAUGGCGUGCCUUUUGAAGAAUGAGCCUGCGAGUUAGUGUUACGUCGCGAGGUUAACCCGUGUGGGGAAGCCGUAGCGAAAGCGAGUCUGAAUAGGGCGAGUGAGUGGCGUGAUCUAGACCCGAAGCGAAGUGAUCUACCCAUGGCCAGGUUGAAGCGACGGUAAGACGUCGUGGAGGACCGAACCCACUUCAGUUGAAAAUGGAGGGGAUGAGCUGUGGGUAGGGGUGAAAGGCCAAUCAAACUUCGUGAUAGCUGGUUCUCCCCGAAAUGCAUUUAGGUGCAGCGUUGCGUGUUUCUUGCCGGAGGUAGAGCUACUGGAUGGCCGAUGGGCCCUACAAGGUUACUGACGUCAGCCAAACUCCGAAUGCCGGUAAGUGAGAGCGCAGCAGUGAGACUGUGGGGGAUAAGCUUCAUAGUCGAGAGGGAAACAGCCCAGACCACCAACUAAGGCCCCUAAGCGUGUGCUAAGUGGGAAAGGAUGUGGAGUUGCUCAGACAACCAGGAGGUUGGCUUAGAAGCAGCCAUCCUUGAAAGAGUGCGUAAUAGCUCACUGGUCAAGUGAUUCCGCGCCGACAAUGUAGCGGGGCUCAAGUACACCGCCGAAGUUGUGGAUUUCAAAUGUUAGCCAAG
rnacentral:rRNA from 1 species